CAGUCGCCGCGGUAAUACGUAGGGUGCGAGCGUUAAUCGGAAUUACUGGGCGUAAAGCGUGCGCAGGCGGUUUUGUAAGACAGGCGUGAAAUCCCCGGGCUCAACCUGGGAACUGCAUCUGUGACUGCAUAGCUAGAGUACGGUAGAGGGGGAUGGAAUUCCGCGUGUAGUAGUGAAAUGCGUAGAUAUGCGGAGGAACACCGAUGGCGAGGGCAAUCCCCUGGACCUGUACUGACGCUCAUGCACGAAAGCGUGGGGAGCAAACAGGAUUAGAUACCCCCGUAGUCCCUGUCUCUUAUAC
rnacentral:rRNA from 1 species